GAGCUCCAGGAAAGGCACAAAGCUACAAAGAGAAACCCUGUCUCGAAAAAACCAAAAAAAAAAAAAAAAAAAAAAAAUUAAAUCUUUAAGCCAGUUUUUAAUUAUUAAAUUCUGACACAAAUUCAGCUUUUGAUUCCAUAAACAACUUGAUAACAUGUCCUAAACCAUAAAAUAUUUUCAACAUUUGGUCUCAACUUAGCCAUCUUACUUUUGAAAAGUAAAUGAUGUCUCCAUAGUCAACAUCAACACUUUAGAGGAAUUCCUGAAUUGGCUAUGAUUCGAUCAUUUGCCCUUCCAAGAUUCACAGGUUGGUGACAAUAUACACGAUAUUGUCCAUUUAUAACGAUUUUGUGCAUACAUUUCAUUGUUGUGUUUUGCAGUCAUACUUCUUCAAACAUGGAUUUGGGACAAUGGUUACACUGUCUUCUGUUACAUUACAGCCCCUGCUCCUUUAUCUUCUGUCUCCAAGGCAUUAGCAGUAACUCCUAGACACGUUGACAACAGACAAGAAAAUUCCUUUAGCUUAUUUUUUACUGCUUGGUAUAAAUCUUUUGAUCUGGUUGUCUUCUAAUAGCAUGAAAGAAGCCAUUUCUUCAGGAGCAUGAUGGUCAUAAAUGUUUAACAACAACGGCAAGAUGAACUGUGUUUACGGCAUCAGUGUGUCGACCCAUCAUUUAAGCAUCAAAUGUAAAAUCUACUCCUCAUAAUUCAUGCCAUCCGGUUUCCUCAAAUUGCAUGCUUAUAGUCUGGUGAAACAAACUGAUUUUAGAACUAUUACUCUUAAAGGGGAUAUCAAACCAUGUUCCAUUCAUGAUUUAUUAAACUUACCACCAGUAAACAGUUCUGAUAUUUUUUCGCCAUUAAAUAUGCUAACACAUAAAUAGAUUUUGCAAUAAAAUCCCUCUGAGCUGUUACUUAGACAAGUUUUCUGUUGAAACGGGAGAUUUAUGUUUUUCAGUUCAGUUGUUUUGUCCUAAUGAUUCAGUCUGUGGAACACACUGAAUUUGCCAGCUUGGCUUUGCAUACAAUGUCUGUCUUCUCAAAUUAAGUCCAAAUUCCCUGCAAUUUAAGUCGAGUGCCUCAAAAUCAUCUUUUUAAGCAACCCUCCUUCAUGCAUAAUUUUUCUUUUGUGAUAUUGUAGGGGCUAUGUUGGAGAUGAAAAAUAAUUGACAAGGGUUAUGUUUGCUUAUAUCAUGAAAAGUAAUUGGCAGGAAAAUAGGAAGGUUUGGGGCUUUCCCAUCUCACCUGUGGAUGUAGCAUGAAGCACAGGGCUGACUGUAGAGCAUGGUGGGUGAUGUGUGGAGUUCAGUGAGGUGUCAAGUAACCCUAGUGACAUAGGAGAAUAUUUUCCUGUCUUCUAAACAGUAUUCAACGCCUAUUGUUUACAAUAGGAGACUGCAUCAUUAUUGAUCACCACUGUGUCUCACUCACCAAGUCACUAUGAGCACAUGUAACCUAUGAUGGUACCACUUCAAGUGUCUGCACUCAGAAGACAGCAUCCUGGAAAUGCAUACCACCAUCAAACUGAAGCCUUUGUAAAUACAUUCAUAGCUGUAUCAACAAUUUAGUGUAUGCUCUUAUUUUCUAAUUCCAUCAUUUCUGGCUCAUUAUUUCCAUAUAUAGGUUCAUAUUUCCAAUAUAGGUUCAGCAAAAAAGUCUAUUACCCAAGAUAUAAAUAACAUGGACUGCAUUCAUUUUUUCAUUUCAAGCUGUACUCUAUUGUGGCAGCUUCUAAUUUUGUCAUAAUAUAUAUAUAUAAUUCUAAAUAUAUAUUUGAUGUUAGUUUAAUGUCGUCCCCCCCCCCAAGAUUAUAACUGUUUCUUGUCUUUACAAAUAUAUCUUCUGAUGUUUACUGGGCAGAUUAAAUUGCUUGGCUACACUUGCCCUCACAGCAGAAUGAACCAAAGAAAUUCAAAUAUUUUAGCAUGUGUAAACUAGCUACUGAGAAAAAAAGGAACUGGCAUCCUUAUGAAAUGUAGAGUAGAACUGGCCGUGGUGGCGCAUACCUUUAAAUCCCUCCAGAGGCAGGUGGAUCUCUGAAUUCAAGGCCAGCCUGGUCUAAAAGUGAGUUCUAGGACAGCCAGGGCUGCACAGAGAGACACUGUCUUAAAAAAACAAAAACAAAAGGAAAAAGAAAAGAAAUGUAGAAUAUGUACAUUUCUUGGAUUUAGUCAAUGGAGUGAUGGCUUUUUUAAAACAUAACUUUUUAUUGAGUCUUUGGGUAUUUCACAUCAUGUACCCUAAUCCCACUCGUUUUCUUGUCUUUCCAUAUCUGCCCUUCAUCCUUGUAGCCUACCCCAAUCAAAGUUAAUUAAAAAAAAAAAAAACCCGCUCCUCUGCCAAAUACAGUGUUCCGUGCAUGUACCAUUCCACUCCUCUGUCUUCCCCAAUCUCCAUCACAGAAUCUUUCAUUGUAGUGGCAUUCGAAGUCGCCAUGUGUCACAUAGUGUUUCCUUUGCCCCAUCAGCCCACACUGCUUUUCUUUCAAAUGUUUACUGCAAUUAGUCAUUAGGGUUAGUUCAAGGCCUUUGGCUUCUGCUACUACAUCAAUCCUGGACCCUCAGAGAAACUCUCAGACUUCCUGCUCUUGCCCUGGGUUGUGGGGAGAUCCUGCAGUUAUGGAUUGGCAGGGCCGACCCCUUCCGCACGAUCCAGCGGCUCCUCAAUGGAGAAGAUGUUGGGGUGGGUCAAUUCAAAGCCCCAGCUCUGGGCCUGGGUGGUAGUUGAAUUGGUCAGCCUGCCAGAAUUCCCUCAUCCACACCAUUAUAGCCAGCUCCCCCUCUGCCCAGGCGAGGGACAGGACCAGCUCUCCAGCAUCUGCAUCCCUUUGGGCAAGAGGUUGGGUCAGCUUUCCCAUGCCCAUGUCAUAGGGGCUGGCUCUCCAGUGUCUCGCCGCCAAGGCCAGUUCUCCCACACUGCCCAGACGAGGGAGCAGGACCAGCUCUCCCACCAGCAACAUCAACAAGAGUUCUGUUACAUGGUGUAAUCAAGAAGAGAUAUCAUUUUCCAGCUCAGAACGUGGAAGGAGACCCUGCUGGUCCCUGCCUCGGUCUCCACGCAAUUAAUAUAUUUACACAGUUAAAGUGAAGAAACAACCUAGGACAGUAACAAAGGAAGCCACAGGAGAGAGUCCUGGUCCUUCAACACAAGGCUGGCUACAUGGCCAAGACUCUCAGUGAUUCGUACUCUCAAGAACAGACUGUUGACUGGCUGCUUGUUUAUGAUUUAUGAGCUCCGACAGAAGCGUGCAUAAUGACCUGAUGUACCAAGAGUCUAGAAAAAGGAGUUUGUGCAGAAGCUUGUCAAGUUCCAUUACAGAUGUCCCCGGUCCUCAUGUUUCCUGUCACAAAUCCUGGGAGGUAAGAAGUGAUCGUCAGAUUCCAGAUGGACUUUGCUUAGAUUGGAAAGUAUUACAAAACACUGUAGAAAUGGAGUUCAAACAGCAAAAGGAAACUGGUCAGCACAGAAUGCGUCAUCGCAGGAAAGUGUUCCAGUUCACGGCAUCAGCUUUGAGAAGAUUCGGCUAAUUCCCUGUUAACUAACUUUAUUUGUGAAAGCUCAUUGAAUACAGUCAUUAGGAAUGUAAAUCAGAUCCUUCUGUAGGCAGUUUUUGAACUUUCUGAACAGAAAGAGAGACUCUUUUCUAUAUUACAUGCCUGACACUUGGUUGGAAAAGCUCAUUGA